rnacentral:rRNA from 1 species
UGGCUCAGGAUGAACGCUGGCGGCGUGCCUAACACAUGCAAGUCGAACGGAGUAUUUAGAGCUUGCUUUGAAUACUUAGUGGCGGACGGGUGAGUAAUGUAUGAGCAACCUGCCUUUCAGAGGGGGACAACAGUUGGAAACGACUGCUAAUACCGCGUAACGUAUGACGGGGGCAUCCCUGACAUACCAAAGGAGCAAUCCGCUGAAAGAUGGGCUCAUAUCUGAUUAGCUAGUUGGUGAGGUAACGGCUCACCAAGGCUGCGAUCAGUAGCCGGACUGAGAGGUUGAACGGCCACAUUGGGACUGAGAUACGGCCCAGACUCCUACGGGAGGCAGCAGUGGGGAUA